rfam:Myotis lucifugus cont2.9366, whole genome shotgun sequence.
CUGUCUCUUGCUUCAACAGUGUUAGGACGGAACAG